rnacentral:rRNA from 1 species
UGUGUGUUAGUGGAAGCGUCUGGAAAGGCGCGCGAUACAGGGUGACAGCCCCGUACACAAAAAUGCACAUGCUGUGAGCUCGAUGAGUAGGGCGGGACACGUGGUAUCCUGUCUGAAUAUGGGGGGACCAUCCUCCAAGGCUAAAUACUCCUGACUGACCGAUAGUGAACCAGUACCGUGAGGGAAAGGCGAAAAGAACCCCGGCGAGGGGAGUGAAAAAGAACCUGAAACCGUGUAC